rnacentral:rRNA from 1 species
GUACGGGAGGCAGCAGUGGGGAAUUUUGGACAAUGGGCGAAAGCCUGAUCCAGCCAUGCCGCGUGAGUGAAGAAGGCCUUCGGGUUGUAAAGCUCUUUCGGCCGGGACGAAAUCGCAUUCUCUAAUACAGGAUGUGGAUGACGGUACCGGAAUAAGAAGCACCGGCUAACUACGUGCCAGCAGCCGCGGUAAUACGUAGGGUGCGAGCGUUAUUCGGAAUUACUGGGCGUAAAGCGUGCGCAGGCGGUUGUGUAAGACAGACGUGAAAUCCCCGGGCUCAACCUGGGAACUGCGUUUGUGACUGCACGGCUAGAGUACGGCAGAGGGGGGUGGAAUUCCACGUGUAGCAGUGAAAUGCGUAGAGAUGUGGAGGAACACCGAUGGCGAAGGCAGCCCCCUGGGCCAGUACUGACGCUCAUGCACGAAAGCGUGGGGAGCAAACAGGAUUAGAUACCCGGGUAGUC